GGGCCCGCACAAGCGGUGGAGCAUGUGGUUUAAUUCGAUGCAACGCGAAGAACCUUACCUACUCUUGACAUCCAGAGAACUUUUCAGAGAUGAAUUGGUGCCUUCGGGAACUCUGAGACAGGUGCUGCAUGGCUGUCGUCAGCUCGUGUUGUGAAAUGUUGGGUUAAGUCCCGCAACGAGCGCAACCCUUAUCCUUGUUUGCCAGCGAGUAAUGUCGGGAACUCCAGGGAGACUGCCGGUGAUAAACCGGAGGAAGGUGGGGACGACGUCAAGUCAUCAUGGCCCUUACGAGUAGGGCUACACACGUGCUACAAUGGCGCAUACAGAGGGCAGCCAACUCGCGAGAGUGAG
rnacentral:rRNA from 1 species